rnacentral:rRNA from 1 species
UUGCAUAUCAAAAGCGGAGGAAAAGAAACCAACAGGGAUUGCCCUAGUAACGGCGAGUGAAGCGGCAACAGCUCAAAUUUGAAAUCUGGCCUCACGGUCCGAGUUGUAAUUUGCAGAGGAUGCUUCUGGCGACGUGCCUUCCGAGUUCCCUGGAACGGGACGCCAUAGAGGGUGAGAGCCCCGUCCGGUCGUGCACCUAGCCUCUGUGAAGCUCCUUCGACGAGUCGAGUAGUUUGGGAAUGCUGCUCUAAAUGGGAGGUAUACGUCUUCUAAAGCUAAAUACCGGCCAGAGACCGAUAGCGCACAAGUAGAGUGAUCGAAAGAUGAAAAGCACUUUGAAAAGAGGGUUAAAUAGUACGUGAAAUUGCUGAAAGGGAAGCGCUUAUGACCAGACUUGGGCUCGGUGAAUCAUCCGGCGUUCUCGCCGGUGCACUUUGCCGUCCCAGGCCAGCAUCAGUUCGCGCCGGGGGAUAAAGGUUUCGGGAAUGUGGCCCCCUCGGGGGUGUUAUAGCCCGUUGCGUAAUACCCUGGCGUGGACUGAGGUCCGCGCAUUGCAAGGAUGCGCGUAGCAGUGAGU